CCCUUAGAUGUCCUGGGCCGCACGCGCGCUACACUGAUGCAUUCAACGAGUAUUUCCUUGGCCGAGAGGCCUGGGCAAUCUUUUAAACCUGCAUCGUGAUAGGGAUAGAUUAUUACAAUUAUUAAUCUUGAACGAGGAAUUCCUAGUAAACGCAAAUCAUCAAUUUGCAUUGAUUACGUCCCUGCCCUUUGUACACACCGCCCGUCGCACCUACCGAUUGAAUGGUCCGGUGAAAUUUCGGGAUUGUGGCCAGUUCACUUUAUUGGGAGUUGGCUGCGAGAACUUGCUUAAACCUUAUCAUUUAGAGGAAGGUGAAGUCGUAACA
rnacentral:rRNA from 1 species